ACAGGAAGGUCGUUUAGACAGGUCGAGCAGAUCUCACACAGUUCAGCAGUAAUAGUUAAACGAUGCUCGGACAAACCGUGCGACGAUUCGCCACCUCUGCGGUGCGCUCCAGUCAUUAUGCGGAGGGACCUGGAAAGAACCUGCCGUUCUCAGUAGAAAACAAGUGGAGGCUCCUUGGCAUGAUGGUGAUGUUCUUUGGCAGUGGAUUUGCCUUUCCCUUCAUCGUUGUCAGGCAUCAGAUCCUGAAGAAAUGAAGCUCCUAUCAGUCACACAUUGUCGGUGUGAUUCUUUUGCAACACAGCUCUCAGUUUCUUCUGGUGUGGAUCCUUUAAUGUUAUUGUAAAUAAAAUGACCAAUUACAUUUA